GAUGAACGCUGGCGGCGUGCCUAAUACAUGCAAGUCGAACGCUGAAGCUUGGUGCUUGCACCGAGCGGAUGAGUUGCGAACGGGUGAGUAACGCGUAGGUAACCUGCCUCUUAGCGGGGGAUAACUAUUGGAAACGAUAGCUAAUACCGCAUAAAAGUCGACAUCGCAUUAUGUUGACUUGAAAUGUGCAAUUUCAUCACUAAGAGAUGGACCUGCGUUGUAUUAGCUAGUUGGUGUGGUAACGGCUCACCAAUGCGACGAAACGUAGCCGACCGUCGAGGGGGAGCUGCCACACUGGGAUGGAGGCACGACCAAGAAUCCUGGGGGUGGCAGCAGGAGGGGAUCUUUGGGGAUGGGAGCAACGCUGAACAAGCAACGCCGCGCGAGAGCAGAAGGUUGUCGGGUCGUGAAGCUCAGUUGUAAGAGAAGAACGAGUGUGAGAGUGGAAAGUUCAGACUGUGACGGUAACGGAACAGAAAGCGACGGCUAACUACGUG
rnacentral:rRNA from 1 species